GGGUUGUGAGGUUAAGCGACUAAGCGUACACGGUGGAUGCCCUGGCAGUCAGAGGCGAUGAAGGGCGUGCUAAUCUGCGAUAAGCGCCGGUAAGGUGAUAUGAACCGUUAUAACCGGCGAUACCCGAAUGGGGAAACCCAGUGUGACUCGUCCACUAUCAUUAACUGAAUCCAUAGGUUAAUGAGGCGAACCGGGGGAACUGAAACAUCUAAGUACCCCGAGGAAAAGAAAUCAACCGAGAUUCCCCCAGUAGCGGCGAGCGAACGGGGAGGAGCCCAGAGCCUGAAUCAGCAUGUGUGUUAGUGGAAGCGUCUGGAAAGGCGCGCGAUACAGGGUGACAGCCCCGUACACAAAAGCGCAUGUGCUGUGAGCUCGAUGAGUAGGGCGGGACACGUGAUAUCCUGUCUGAAUAUGGGGGGACCAUCCUCCAAGGCUAAAUACUCCUGACUGACCGAUAGUGAACCAGUACCGUGAGGGAAAGGCGAAAAGAACCCCGGCGAGGGGAGUGAAAAAGAACCUGAAACCGUGUACGUACAAGCAGUGGGAGCCCCACCACUAAGCCAGUGGUGAACUCCACAUACGCAUCCUUUGCUGAGGAUACGGUUAACGGAGCGAAAGCGACGUUCAACCUCAAAAGAAGCAGAGGGGGCUUAGUGGUGGGGUGACUGCGUACCUUUUGUAUAAUGGGUCAGCGACUUAUAUUCUGUAGCAAGGUUAACCGAAUAGGGGAGCCGAAGGGAAACCGAGUCUUAACCGGGCGUUAAGUUGCAGGGUAUAGACCCGAAACCCGGUGAUCUAGCCAUGGGCAGGUUGAAGGUUGGGUAACACUAACUGGAGGACCGAACCGACUAAUGUUGAAAAAUUAGCGGAUGACCUGUGGCUGGGGGUGAAAGGCCAAUCAAACCGGGAGAUAGCUGGUUCUCCCCGAAAGCUAUUUAGGUAGCGCCUCGUGAACUCAUCUCCGGGGGUAGAGCACUGUUUCGGCUAGGGGGGCAUCCCGACUUACCAACCCGAUGCAAACUGCGAAUACCGGAGAAUGUUAUCACGGGAGACACACGGCGGGUGCUAACGUCCGUCGUGAAGAGGGAAACAACCCAGACCGCCAGCUAAGGUCCCAAAGUCAUGGUUAAGUGGGAAACGAUGUGGGAAGGCCCAGACAGCCAGGAUGUUGGCUUAGAAGCAGCCAUCAUUUAAAGAAAGCGUAAUAGCUCACUGGUCGAGUCGGCCUGCGCGGAAGAUGUAACGGGGCUAAACCAUGCACCGAAGCUGCGGCAGCGAACGUAUCACUUAAAGCGAUUCAGCGGGUUACGAUUGACGGAGCGAAGCGACGUCAAAGCGUAUACAAAGUCGAGUCGGUUUAAGGAUACGUUCGUUGGGUAGGGGAGCGUUCUGUAAGCCUGUGAAGGUGUGUCGUGAGGCAUGCUGGAGGUAUCAGAAGUGCGAAUGCUGACAUAAGUAACGAUAAAGCGGGUGAAAAGCCCGCUCGCCGGAAGACCAAGGGUUCCUGUCCAACGUUAAUCGGGGCAGGGUGAGUCGACCCCUAAGGCGAGGCCGAAAGGCGUAGUCGAUGGGAAACGGGUUAAUAUUCCCGUACUUGGUGUUACUGCGAAGGGGGGACGGAGAAGGCUAUGUUGGCCGGGCGACGGUUGUCCCGGUUUAAGCGUGUAGGUGUGUGUUCCAGGUAAAUCCGGUUCACUUUAACACUGAGGCGUGACGACGAGGCACUACGGUGCUGAAGCAACAAAUGCCCUGCUUCCAGGAAAAGCCUCUAAGCAUCAGGUAACAUCAAAUCGUACCCCAAACCGACACAGGUGGUCAGGUAGAGAAUACCAAGGCGCUUGAGAGAACUCGGGUGAAGGAACUAGGCAAAAUGGUGCCGUAACUUCGGGAGAAGGCACGCUGACACGUAGGUGAAGUGAUUUACUCACGGAGCUGAAGUCAGUCGAAGAUACCAGCUGGCUGCAACUGUUUAUUAAAAACACAGCACUGUGCAAACACGAAAGUGGACGUAUACGGUGUGACGCCUGCCCGGUGCCGGAAGGUUAAUUGAUGGGGUCAGCGCAAGCGAAGCUCCUGAUCGAAGCCCCGGUAAACGGCGGCCGUAACUAUAACGGUCCUAAGGUAGCGAAAUUCCUUGUCGGGUAAGUUCCGACCUGCACGAAUGGCGUAAUGAUGGCCAGGCUGUCUCCACCCGAGACUCAGUGAAAUUGAACUCGCUGUGAAGAUGCAGUGUACCCGCGGCAAGACGGAAAGACCCCGUGAACCUUUACUAUAGCUUGACACUGAACAUUGAGCCUUGAUGUGUAGGAUAGGUGGGAGGCUUUGAAGUGUGGACGCCAGUCUGCGUGGAGCCGACCUUGAAAUACCACCCUUUAAUGUUUGAUGUUCUAACGUGGACCCGUUACCCGGGUUGCGGACAGUGUCUGGUGGGUAGUUUGACUGGGGCGGUCUCCUCCUAAAGAGUAACGGAGGAGCACGAAGGUUGGCUAAUCCUGGUCGGACAUCAGGAGGUUAGUGCAAUGGCAUAAGCCAGCUUGACUGUGAGCGUGACGGCGCGAGCAGGUGCGAAAGCAGGUCAUAGUGAUCCGGUGGUUCUGAAUGGAAGGGCCAUCGCUCAACGGAUAAAAGGUACUCCGGGGAUAACAGGCUGAUACCGCCCAAGAGUUCAUAUCGACGGCGGUGUUUGGCACCUCGAUGUCGGCUCAUCACAUCCUGGGGCUGAAGUAGGUCCCAAGGGUAUGGCUGUUCGCCAUUUAAAGUGGUACGCGAGCUGGGUUUAGAACGUCGUGAGACAGUUCGGUCCCUAUCUGCCGUGGGCGCUGGAGAACUGAGGGGGGCUGCUCCUAGUACGAGAGGACCGGAGUGGACGCAUCACUGGUGUUCGGGUUGUCAUGCCAAUGGCACUGCCCGGUAGCUAAAUGCGGAAGAGAUAAGUGCUGAAAGCAUCUAAGCACGAAACUUGCCCCGAGAUGAGUUCUCCCUGAGACUUUAAGUCUCCUGAAGGAACGUUGAAGACGACGACGUUGAUAGGCCGGGUGUGUAAGCGCAGCGAUGCGUUGAGCUAACCGGUACUAAUGAACCGUGAGGCUUAACCUUACAACGCCGAAG
rnacentral:rRNA from 1 species